rnacentral:rRNA from 1 species
CCUACGGGAGGCUGCGGUGGGGAAUAUUGGACAAUGGGGGGAACCCUGAUCCAGCCAUGCCGCGUGUGUGAAGAAGGCCCUCGGGUUGUAAAGCACUUUCAGUGAGGAAGAACGCCUGGUGGUUAAUACCCAUCAGGAAAGACAUCACUCACAGAAGAAGCACCGGCUAACUCCGUGCCAGCAGCCGCGGUAAUACGGAGGGUGCGAGCGUUAAUCGGAAUUACUGGGCGUAAAGCGCGCGUAGGUGGCUUGAUAAGCCGGUUGUGAAAGCCCCGGGCUCAACCUGGGAACGGCAUCCGGAACUGUCAAGCUAGAGUGCAGGAGAGGAAGGUAGAAUUCCCGGUGUAGCGGUGAAAUGCGUAGAGAUCGGGAGGAAUACCAGUGGCGAAGGCGGCCUUCUGGACUGACACUGACACUGAGGUGCGAAAGCGUGGGUAGCAAACAGGAUUAGAUACCCUUGUAGUC